GUAAUACAUCGGAACGUGCCCGGUAGUUGGGGGAUAACCCGGCGAAAGCCGGACUAAUACCGCAUACGACUACGGGUGAAAGCAGGGGAUCGCAAGACUUGCGCUAUCGGAGCGGCCGAUGUCAGAUUAGCUUGUUGGUGGGGUAAAAGCCCACCAAGGCGACGAUCUGUAGCUGGUCUGAGAGGACUGACCAGCCACACUGGGACUGAGACACUGGCCAGACUCCUACGGGAGGCAGCAGUGGGGAAUUUUGGACAAUGGGCGCAAGCCUGAUCCAGCCAUGCCGCGUGCGGGAAGAAGGCCUUCGGGUUGUAAACCGUUUUGUCAGGGAAGAAAAGCUCCGGGCUAAUACCUUGGAGUCAUGACGGGUACCUUGAAGAAUCAAGCAC
rnacentral:rRNA from 1 species